GCAUAUCGUGCAGGGAUAGUGAUCUUGAUCGUUUCAAAUUCAUCUUCUUUUCCUUACUCUUGUCAACAGAUUGCAUUACAAAUUGAACUCCUAUUGAUUCCAAUCACAACAGAACAUGAACCUUUAUGCAAAGAUAAAAAAAUAAACUAUUUAAGAAAUGAAGUAAAAUCAUCAACACGAAUUCAAGAUAGUAAAGUUCCUUCCAAUUCAACAAUUAAGCUAAUUGAGUUCAAGUUAUUCUAAAAUCUUCUUUCCAUUUGAUAAAAGUUUGCAAAUAACACAUUCUAAAAAUUGAAUUCGUUAUUUUAUCAAAACCAGAAACAACCUCAUUUCAAAAUUCAUUUCUAUAGUUUUCUCGGCAACCAAGCAAGAAUUAAUUUUGAAAAAAAAACAAUUAAGAAAGCCAUUACCUGCGGUGGAUCCGAUCACAGUCUACUGAACUGCACCGAAUCCACACUUUUUUCCGUGAAAACUAAAUCUUCCUUUCCUUUUCACUUUAACCAUAAAACCAAACUCAAAUUAAAAAGCAACAUGGAAAAAAGUAGACUUUUUUUCUUUUUCCAGAAAGAAUAAGAUUGGAAUAUUACUUGUAAAAUAAGUGGAACUGAUGAUCGGCCAUAAAAAAUAAUUGUUUUCCCUAAAUUAAAGAAAAUUUAGAUUAAGAUUGAAAGAAGGUAAAGGAAUUAAUGGAGUUGGAUUGAGUAAAUAAAAAGAAAAUCUUGAGAAAGGGCACGUUGUGGGCAUCGGCCGAUAUCAAAUGCUA
rnacentral:lncRNA from 1 species